CAGAGUUUGAAUAUUAUCGAUCGAAGACCAGUAACAUGGCGACCGGUUCCCGAUCAGAGCGUUCACGUUUUCGAGGAAGUUAAGAUCGAUUUCUGGCCUAAAUAUUUCAGAACAUACUGUCUUUUCGGUGAUGUCAGGUCUACAGCUGAGCAAAUUCUGUCGACAUCCAACAACACUGGAAUCUGGUGAAGUGUUAUGAGGUCUUAUGAAGACUCAGAAUAAGUUGGAAGGUAUAAAUCCUGUAAUAAAUAUUAUUGAACAUAA